AUACGUAAGGGGCAAGCGUUACUCGGAUUGACUGGGUGUAAAGGGUCCGUAGGCGGCCAUGCGCGUCGGAUGUGAAAGCCCGGGGCUCAACCCCGGAAACGCAUUCGAUACGGCACGGCUUGAGGCGGAGAGAGGUACGUGGAAUUCCCGGUGUAGCGGUGAAAUGCGUAGAGAUCGGGAGGAACACCAGUGGCGAAGGCGGCGUACUGGCUCCGUUCUGACGCUGAGGGACGAAGGCGUGGGGAGCAAACAGGAUUAGAUACCCUGGUAGUCCACGCAGUAAACGAUGCGCACUUGGUGUGGGAGGUAUCGACCCCUCCCGUGCCGAAGCCAACGCGUUAAGUGCGCCACCUGGGGAGUACGGUCGCAAGACUGAA
rnacentral:rRNA from 1 species